GACGAACCGUGCGAACGUUGUUCGGAAUCACUGGGCUUAAAGGGCGCGUAGGCGGCGGGUCGAGUCCGGGGUGAAAGCCCCCAGCUUAACUGGGGAAGGGCCUCGGAGACUGGUCCGCUCGAGGGAGGUAGGGGUCGCGGGAACUUCCGGUGGAGCGGUGAAAUGCGUUGAUAUCGGAAGGAACGCCGGUGGCGAAGGCGCGCGACUGGACCUCUUCUGACGCUGAGGCGCGAAAGCCAGGGGAGCGAACGGG
rnacentral:rRNA from 1 species